AUGGCCCUUGUCAGCCUUUUAAGGGUUUAUUGGAUUUGCCUUUUCCUGUUUAGCAGUGGGACUUCUGCUCCAUUAAAUAGAAGUGGCUCAUCAUCCAGGGAAGAUGAACUGAACCAAGACUCGUCUAGCCUUGAAUAUCUCGAAGAGCCCAGGGCGCCGAGAGCAUCAAGCAGGAAAUCUGGUUCUCUUGACCAAGCUUUGUCCCUUUGGGCCUCUGGCAUGUACAAGCAGGGCUCCAUACCUUCAUAUUAUCUUGCGCUCCAGGACCCUGAUAAACCCCUUGAAUAUUUCACCAAACCUCAGGAACUGUCCAUCACCGGGUUGGUGGACCAGAGAGCUUCUUCUGGUGGUCUCAGCGAAGAUGUGCCAGAAAACGAGGGACAUCUCAUUGAGCCCAGGGCCCUCAAGACGUCUCCCGCCAAAGCCUCCCCCUCGGUCUCGAUGUCCAAAGAAGGCUCCAUACUGCCAUUAAAUCCCUUGCAACAGGGCUCCGGUGGAGCAGGUGCGCCCAACCAAGAGGCACCACAGGGAAAGGGAGUGUCUGCAGUUGUAGCCGGUGCUCAUCAACUGAGCUCAGGGACCUCUCAAGAACUCUCUGACUGGACCAGACAAGCCUAUUCACCGAGCAAUGAAGUUGACUCUGAGGUGUCCGCCUUCUACCAGCAGGGUGACGGCUUUGAAGCUCUGCUGCCUCAGUUUGAAGUCUCUGACCUGGAGGAGCCUCAACAAGGCGUCAGUGAGCCCAGGGAACAGAAGAGGUGCCAUUCUCUUAGCCAAGCUUCCGCCUCUUCCUCCAUGUCCAAACAGGGCUCUGGUGGAGCAGGUGUUUGGGAGGUUCCUGAGCUUGAGGCAAAAGAACAAUCGAACUACCUGACCGCCUGGAACAUGGAAGGCUAUUCACCGAGCAAUGAAUAUGACUCUGCGAUGGCAGCCUUCUACCAGCAGGGUGACGGGUCUGAAGUCUCUGACAUGCAGGAGCUUCAACAAGGAGUCAUUGAGCCUUUGGGUGAUGGUUCUGAAGUCUUUGACAUGCAGGAGCUUCAACAAGGAGUCAUUGAGCCUUUGGGUGACGGUUCUAACCACUCUGACAUGCAGGAGCUUCCAUCAGGCGUCAGUGAGCCUUAUCCACCCAGCUUCAUUAUCCAGAUCGGGAGUGGCUACCAACGGUCCAGACUGAGUGCCACCUCAGACAAAUACUCCCUCAACCAAGGUCCUGAGGCAUUUGGGAUUUAUCCUGAAGACUGGGACAACUACCAGUUGCCAAGCUCUAUCAAGUGAUCAUGUAAU
rnacentral:lncRNA from 1 species